rnacentral:rRNA from 1 species
CCUACGGGUGGCUGCAGUGGGGAAUAUUGGACAAUGGGGGGAACCCUGAUCCAGCCAUGCCGCGUGUGUGAAGAAGGCCCUCGGGUUGUAAAGCACUUUCAGUGAGGAAGAACGCCUGGUGGUUAAUACCCAUCAGGAAAGACAUCACUCACAGAAGAAGCACCGGCUAACUCCGUGCCAGCAGCCGCGGUAAUACGGAGGGUGCGAGCGUUAAUCGGAAUUACUGGGCGUAAAGCGCGCGUAGGUGGCUUGAUAAGCCGGUUGUGAAAGCCCCGGGCUCAACCUGGGAACGGCAUCCGGAACUGUCAAGCUAGAGUGCAGGAGAGGAAGGUAGAAUUCCCGGUGUAGCGGUGAAAUGCGUAGAGAUCGGGAGGAAUACCAGUGGCGAAGGCGGCCUUCUGGACUGACACUGACACUGAGGUGCAAAAGCGUGGGUAGCAAACAGGAUUAGAUACCCUUGUAGUC